GCAGACGGUGCACGGUCCGACCCUUGCAUUUGGCUUCCUUCUUGGCCGACCUUAGCUCGGACCCGAGCCGGGAGACUUCGUCUACCAACUUAGCCUCCCGGUCGGCCGACUGCUUUAGGUGGUCGACCAACAUUGCCCGAUCGGCUUCGGCCGCCGCCGACCUUUCCUUCCAAGCCGCCCGGACGUUCCCGAACCUCCAGUACCCGGCUUCAAGCUCCGACAUGGUGUAGAUCAGCUGCCGAUGCAAGCAUUUCGUCAGGAACACAC
rnacentral:lncRNA from 1 species